rnacentral:ncRNA from 1 species
CAUCGCAAGGUAAAAUCUGAAGAAAGAUGAAAACAAAAUGCAGGUCUGACGAACAGGAAGCGAUUUAGGCGGUGCGGCGGGAUAAGGUGGCUAUUAUCGUCAACGCCCAAUACUUAUACAGAAUGCUGUGACGUAGAGCCGACAGACAUAGGCAGGAAGGU